GGAUGUGAGGGCGAUCUGGCUGCAACAUCUGUCACCCCAUUGAUCGCCAGGGUUGAUUCGGCUGAUCUGGCUGGCUAGGCGGGUGUCCCCUUCCUCCCUCACUGCUCCAUGUGCGUCCCUCCCGAAGCUGCGCGCUUGGUCGAAGAGGACGACCAUCCCCGAUAGAGGAGGACUGUUCUUCGGUCAAGGGUAUACGAGUAGCUGCGCUCCCCUGCUAGAACCUCCAAACAAGCUCUCAAAAGUUCAUGUAUUGAAAGCUUAGUUCCCAAUGCAGCAAUGUUCCAAGGUGAGGCUU
rnacentral:snRNA from 1 species